AGCGAACGCUGGCGGCAGGCUUAACACAUGCAAGUCGAGCGCCCGUAGCAAUACGGGAGCGGCAGACGGGAGAGUAACACGUGGGAACAUGCCCUUCGGUUCGGAAUAACUCAGGGAAACUUGAGCUAAUACCGGAUACGUCCGUAAGGAGAAAGAUUUAUCGCCGAAGGAUUGGCCCGCGUCCGAUUAGCUUGUUGGUGAGGUAACGGCUCACCAAGGCGACGAUCGGUAGCNGGUCUGAGAGGAUGAUCAGCCUCACUGGGACUGAGACACGGCCCAGACUCCUACGGGAGGCAGCAGUGGGGAAUAUUGGACAAUGGGCGAAAGCCUGAUCCAGCCAUGCCGCGUGGGUGAUGAAGGCCUUAGGGUUGUAAAGCCCUUUCGGCGGGG
rnacentral:rRNA from 1 species